UACGAAGGUGGCAAGCGUUGUUCGGAUUUACUGGGCGUAAAGGGCUCGUAGGCGGCCAACUAAGUCGGAUGUGAAAUCCCCAGGCUUAACCUGGGAACUGCAUCCGAUACUGGAUGGCUUGAAUUCGGGAGAGGGAUGCAGAAUUCCAGGUGUAGCGGUGAAAUGCGUAGAUAUCUGGAGGAAUACCGGUGGCGAAGGCGGCAUCCUGGACCGACAUUGACGCUGAGGAGCGAAAGCUAGGGGAGCAAACGGG
rnacentral:rRNA from 1 species